GAAUGCUAUUUGAACAUGCAUUCUCUCAAAGGUGACGCAUAAGGAUGAGUCGGCGGCGGAUUAGAUUGUUGGUGAGGUAACGGCUCACCAAGUCGAAGAUCUGUAGGGGCCUUGAGAGAGGGAGCCCCGAGAAGAGCACUGAGAUACUGGCUCUAGCCCUACGGGGUGCAGCAGGCGCGAAACCUCUACAAUGCACUAACGUGUGAUAGGGGGACCCAGAGUGCUUCACAUUGUGAGGCUUUUGCCAAGCGUAAAUAGCUUGGCGAAUAAGUGGUGGGUAAGACUGGUGCCAGCCGCCGCGGUAACACCAGCGCCACGAGUGGCAACUAUGAUUAUUGGGCCUAAAGCGUCCGUAGCCGGUUUGAUAAAUCUCUUGUGAAAUUGUUGCGCCCAACGCAACAGCGUGCAGGAGAGACUGUCAAACUUGGGACUGGGAAGAGUUAGGAGUAUUUUUGGGGUAGCGGUAAAAUGCUAUAAUCCCAAAGAGACUACCGGUGGCGAAGGCGCCUAACUAGAACAGAUCCGACGGUGAGGGACGAAAGCCAGGGUAGCAAACCGGAUUAGAUACCCGAGUAGUCCUGGCCGUAAACGCUGCGAGCAAGAUGUUGCAUAUUCUUCGUGAAUAUGCAGUAUCGAAGAGAAGUCGUUAAGCUCGCCGCC
rnacentral:rRNA from 1 species